rnacentral:rRNA from 1 species
GAUGAACGCUAGCUACAGGCUUAACACAUGCAAGUCGAGGGGAAACGACAUCGAAAGCUUGCUUUUGAUGGGCGUCGACCGGCGCACGGGUGAGUAACGCGUAUCCAACCUGCCCACCACUUGGGGAUAACCUUGCGAAAGUAAGACUAAUACCCAAUGACGUCUCUAGAAGACAUCUGAGAGAGAUUAAAGAUUUAUCGGUGAUGGAUGGGGAUGCGUCUGAUUAGCUUGUUGGCGGGGUAACGGCCCACCAAGGCGACGAUCAGUAGGGGUUCUGAGAGGAAGGUCCCCCACAUUGGAACUGAGACACGGUCCAAACUCCUACGGGAGGCAGCAGUGAGGAAUAUUGGUCAAUGGGCGAGAGCCUGAACCAGCCAAGUAGCGUGCAGGAUGACGGCCCUAUGGGUUGUAAACUGCUUUUAUAAGGGAAUAAAGUGAGUCUCGUGAGACUUUUUGCAUGUACCUUAUGAAUAAGGACCGGCUAAUUCCGUGCCAGCCACCGCCGUAA